GACGAACGCUGGCGGCGUGCUUAACACAUGCAGGUCGAACGGAAAGGCCCUGCUUUUGUGGGGUGCUCGAGUGGCGAACGGGUGAGUAACACGUGAGUAACCUGCCCUUGACUUUGGGAUAACUUCAGGAAACUGGGGCUAAUACCGGAUAGGAGCUCCUGCUGCAUGGUGGGGGUUGGAAAGUUUCGGCGGUUGGGGAUGGACUCGCGGCUUAUCAGCUUGUUGGUGGGGUAGUGGCUUACCAAGGCUUUGACGGGUAGCCGGCCUGAGAGGGUGACCGGCCACAUUGGGACUGAGAUACGGCCCAGACUCCUACGGGAGGCAGCAGUGGGGAAUAUUGCACAAUGGGCGGAAGCCUGAUGCAGCAACGCCGCGUGCGGGAUGACGGCCUUCGGGUUGUAAACCGCUUUCGCCUGUGACGAAGCGUGAGUGACGGUAAUGGGUAAAGAAGCUCCGGCUAACUACGUG
rnacentral:rRNA from 1 species